AGCAGCAUGGCGCAGCUGGAAGCGCGCGGGGCCCAUAGGAUCUUUGUGCAACCCCGAGGUCACUCGAUCGAAACGAGUUGCUGCUA